rnacentral:rRNA from 1 species
AAACAUCGCCUCUUGCUAAACUAUAAGAGGUCCCGCCUGCCCUGUGACUUAGUUUAACGGCCGCGGUACCUUAACCGUGCAAAGGUAGCACAAUCAAUCGUCCUCUAAAUAAGGACUAGUAUGAAUGGCACCACGAAGGCAUAACUGUCUCCCCUCUCUAAUCAAUGAAACUGAUUUUCUCGUGAAGAAGCGAGAAUGUACUUAUAAGACGAGAAGACCCCAUGGAGCUUUAAACCCAUCACCACCCGCCUACAAUAUAUCAAAAAAUUUAGCAGCUCUGUUCUAAGAUGGUUUUCGGCUGGGGUGGCCUUGGAGUAAAACAAACCCUCCAAAUUGAACGGAAUAAACCCCUAAUUCCAGAACUACUAUUCAAAAACUCAAAACUUUGACAUAAUUGACCCAAUAAAUUGAUCAACGAACCAAGUUACCCUGGGGAUAACAGCGCAAUCCAUUUCAAGAGCCCCUAUCGACAAAUGGGUUUACGACCUCGAUGUUGGAUCGGGGUAUCCUAGCGGCGCAGCCGUUGCUAAAGGUUCGUUUGUUCAACGAUUAACAACCCCACGUGAUC